UUAGAAAUGGUGCGAGAACUUUGGAUGUGGAACGUGGAGGAGGAGGAACACGAAGUGGGGAUCUGCACUUGGGGUGGUCAGCACUGCGGAUGCCCAGCAAAGUCACUGCCUGGUCCACAUCCCGGAGGGGUCUCUGCGCCUCAGUCGGCAUCGCAGCUGAUGGUGAAACUUUUGGUGUGGCAGAAGAGUGUCCACAAACUUCGGAAGGUAUCCGCUACAUCCUCCAUAGCCGUGUAUCCCUGCCCAGGGCAAUCUUCUGGGGGAGCGGAAAGUCCUGCUCCCGGGCCAGGGCUGGCUGGCUGGAGCCACUUGUGCGGCGCAGCCCUGGCGGAGGUUCAGGCGGCCCCGGUGUCGCAAGCGGCUGUGAGUGAUGCCUCCCUGGGGCCGGAGUGGUCCCAGGAAGGCUGCAGACCAGGGCUGACCAGCGGGCAGCAUGGUGGCCGCGAUGGAAGGUGA
ensembl:lncRNA FAM182B family with sequence similarity 182 member B